CCAGCCUGGCCAACAUGGUGAAAACCCGUCUCUACUAAAAAAUAUAAAAAUUAGCCGGGCGUGGUAGUGCAUGCCUGUAAUCCCAGCUACUCCGGAGGCAGGAAAAACGCUUGAACCCGGCAGGUGGAGGUUGCAGUGAGCCAAGAUAGCGCCACUGCACUAUACCCUCGACAAGAGCAAAACUCCGUCUCAAAAAAUUAAUCAUAAGCAAUUUUACUUUUUUGAAUAUUAGCCUUAAAAUUGAGUAGUCAAAUUUUAUUUUGAUGUAAUGAAAUAGGAAUAAUUAUCUCUUAAGUUGGCGUUUAAAAUGUCUGAGGCAAGAGAUUUCUGGAAGGCUUUUGACUCACGGAAGAGAUCAAACCCAAGGAUAUGUAACUGAGCGCUUUUGCUUAGCCUCCAACGUGCUAGCUCUGCAAGUCAGCAGCCCUUCCCCCAUGGCCAGAUUCAGGACAAACAAGCCUUUCCAACCAUGAAGUGCUGAGGUUCUCUUACACAGCAAUCAGCCACAUCCCCUGGUUAGCCUGAGGCUCAGCAGCUCCAUGGGAAAUAACUUGCACCUGUCUGUAAUUGGAUCUUUAGACGUAUACAGACAUGUUUGAUCAGAGUUCGAUUUCCCAUGCAGCUAAUGAAGCUUAAGCCGCAGGGCCCCCUCUCUUGCACAAGUUCCUUCCAAGUCCCUGAACCUAAUUGUGUAUUUAUAAGCCUGUAUUCUUGUUCUUAAAGGAGCCCUCCCAAUAGUUGGGUAGGCUUUUAAGGCCCACCAUACCUGAACCCUCCCCUGUGCCUGAGGGACACUAGGAGCAGGAGGGGUGAUGAUGGAACUUUCCUCCCAGGAAAGGACAAUGAGGCCACUGAGAGUCUAACAGUGAAAGACGUUUUGCUAGACAGCAUGGUAAACUGUGUGUUAGAGAGAACCUGGCGUGGAGCCACCAUCACCCUAUGAUCCUCUACCCCCACUCCCCAACCCUCAUGUGUCUCAGGAGAGAACCAGGAGUUAAAAUUGAAGGAACCAUCACACUAAGGACUCUCAAAUAGUUCUGAUUAGUUGUGAACUUUUCUCUUUUUCCCUUUUGGAAAUUGGAGAGACCUGGCCAUUUGGCAGGUGGAGGUAUUAGCUGGCAGAGUCAGGGAAAACUCGCUAAACCAGUGGUUCUCAAGGUGUCAUCCCCAGACCAGCUGUAGCAGCAACACCUGGGAACCUGUUAGAAGUGCAAAUUAGCAGGCCAAAUCCCAGACCUGUGGAAUCAGGAAUUCUGGGUUGAGGUCCAACAAUCUGUUUAAACAAGGCAUCCAAGUGAUUCUGAUACAGGCUCAAGAUUGAAGACUGUUGCACAGUGAUAUAUGCCAGGAGCUACAAGCUGUUGGGACUCCUCACUUUCUGUUCAUUUUGCUCUCUAUGCAGUUCUCUGUCUCUUUCAUCUAGUCUGAAGCCCACAGCAGUCAAGCGAGUAAGAAGGAAUAUGGCAUCUUGUCUGUCUUAUUCAGGAUGAAGAGUAACCUGCUUAUUUUGUCUCCUGUGUCCCUUAUUCCUUGGGAGGUUUCCCUGGGUGUUAUUCUUAAAAAAAGUCAGCUCACGAAGCCUAAGGUUUAAGUCUGUUCAACUUAGUAGUAAAUUAUGGUAACCUAGGGUAGGGCAAAUAGACCUCAGUCAAGUUCAUGCAGCAGGAUGAGGGUAGUAGCUUCUGAGCAUGUGGGCCGAGCUCUGUAUCAGUGUGGAUCCCAUAUUUGAAGAUCCUUAUUCAUAUAUUCCUCAGGAAAACUAGAUUCCUUUGCAAUUUCUAAAUCUACAUGAACUAAGAUCUCAUCAAUGACCACUACCACAACACAUACAUACCUUUACUAAUAAACAUACUGGAUUUAGAUGUGAGAAUUAAUGAUGGGUUUGUUCAAUAUUUUCCUUCCAAGCUGACUGACACAGUUUAUAAGCUUAUAUUUAUUUUUCUGGCAUUCUUUAGAAAUGUUUUUUGGGACAAACAGCCAAGUUUAACAUGAAUCAAAAUCUUGGCCUGCCCUUUCAACUCCUCCACAAUAGGCUCCAGCGCCACUCUGAUUUUUUCUCUCCUGCAACAUUUAAUUAUUAAUCUUGUGACUUUUGAAAAAUGUCAUGUGGUUUGGUAGUCUUUCAAUUAAAAGGAGGGAAAUAAUACCCUAGUAUUUUUCUUGUUCCUUCCACCUCCCCUUACCAUUGUCCUCUCUAGUACUGAUGAGUACUUUAAAGUUGAUUUUUAGGCUGCCCUGAGUUUCUGAAUGUUCCUAAACACCAUUAUUAAAGAAGCCUGCCUCACCCGUCAUUCAACUGUACUUAAUAUUGCAUUGC
rnacentral:lncRNA from 10 species